rnacentral:rRNA from 1 species
CGGGGGGAGCAAGCGUUGUUCGGAUUUACUGGGCGUAAAGGGCGCGUAGGCGGCGCAACGAGUCACUUGUGAAAUCUCCGGGCUUAACCCGGAGCGGCCAAGUGAUACUGUCGUGCUAGAGUGCGGAAGGGGCUGCUGGAAUUCUCGGUGUAGCGGUGAAAUGCGUAGAUAUCGAGAGGAACACCUGCGGCGAAGGCGGGUAGCUGGGCCGACACUGACGCUGAUGCGCGAAAGCCAGGGGAGCGAACGGGAUUAGAUACCCCGGUAGUCCUGGCCUUAAACGAUGGAUACUUGGUGUCCGGGGUUACAUAGUCCCCGGGUGCCGGCGCUAACGCAUUAAGUAUCCCGCCUGGGGAGUACGGUCGCAAGACUG